UACACGUAUUGGAACACCCCUCCACCAGCCUGUUCUUAUCCCUUUUUCUCCUCUCUUUCUCUCUCGGCCUUAGGAGCAGAGUAGUGAAGAAAAGGCUUGAGGAGUUGAGGAAGUUCUGGCAGCUUGGAGGGCUGCGGAUUGAGGAGAAGAAAAGAAGCUGAUCCAAGUAAGAAAUCAGCUGAGGAAUUUCAGCUAGUAGCUGAAUAAACAAAGAAGAAGUGGGGCAGCUUUGUAGCUUGCGGGUUCAAGUGGAGAAGUUGAUCCGAGCUGAGGAAGGUUGAUGAAAUUGAUGCGUUGAGGGAUCUCCUUGCUGGUCCGAACUGAAAGGGAUUUCCUAGCAAGGAAUUCCUGCUGUUGGAGUUGCUGAACAACUUGGCUAGAGCAUCCAAAUUAAGAUUUGGAGCUGAAAUGAUUAGAGCUAUUGAGUAGUAAGUGCAGCUGAGAAGAAAACCUUGAAGAAGUUCGAAUUCUGGAAUAGUGAUUAAUUGAGAGUUGAUCUUGGACUGCAGCAGAGGGACCAAGUGGAAGCUUUAGCUGAGACUACUUAGAAAUUGAAGUAAUUACCUUGGAAGAAGAAUUGAUAAAGAACUUGUUGCUGCCAUGAUUGAAAACUUAGUGAAGCUGUAGUGACUUCAGGAAUUCCAGGCAGCCAGAUUAAAGGAGUUAAGUAAAGCUUUAAUUGAGUCGGCGACGCGCUAAUUACGGUAAAGGCCGUUCUAGUUCUAUUUGCACCGAGUCGCGCGAGAUUGUUCUUGACACAAUUUGAGACGUGGAUUCUAGUUGUUGACACCACUACAGGUUCCAGUGCGAACGUUAUGGCCGAGGAUCGAGGCAAGAGCCCUACAGCCUAGCUAGCAGACACCCGUGUUUAGUGGUAUACCAUUUUGAGUUCAUGUGAGACAUUUUGAUGUACAGAGACAUGUAAAUGAAUGUAUUAUAAAGCAUGUAAAUAACUAAAUGUUUCAGUUAUUUAGUUAUGUAAAGUUCAGUUUAACAGUUUUAAAUUACAGUUAAUUUUCAGUA